GUGGGGAAUAUUGGGCAAUGGGCGCAAGCCUGACCCAGCAACGCCGCGUGAAGGAAGAAGGCUUUCGGGUUGUAAACUUCUUUUACCAGGGACGAAACAAAUGACGGUACCUGGUGAAUAAGCCACGGCUAACUACGUGCCAGCAGCCGCGGUAAUACGUAGGUGGCGAGCGUUAUCCGGAUUUAUUGGGUGUAAAGGGCGUGUAGGCGGGACAGCAAGUCAGAUGUGAAAACCAGAGGCUCAACCUCUGGCCUGCAUUUGAAACUGUUGUUCUUGAGUGUCGGAGAGGUAAUCGGAAUUCCGUGUGUAGCGGUGAAAUGCGGAGAUAUACGGAGGAACAGCAGUGGCGAAGGCGGAUUACUGGACGAUAACUGACGCUGAGGCGCGAAAGCGUGGGGAGCAAACAGGAUUAGAAACCCCUGUAGUCC
rnacentral:rRNA from 1 species